CCUUCGGGACUGAUUAUUUUGUGACUGAGUGGCGGACGGGUGAGUAACGCGUGGGUAACCUGCCUUGUACAGGGGGAUAACAGUUGGAAACGGCUGCUAAUACCGCAUAAGCGCACGGCAUCGCAUGAUGCAGUGUGAAAAACUCCGGUGGUAUAAGAUGGACCCGCGUUGGAUUAGCUAGUUGGUGAGGUAACGGCCCACCAAGGCGACGAUCCAUAGCCGACCUGAGAGGGUGACCGGCCACAUUGGGACUGAGACACGGCCCAAACUCCUACGGGAGGCAGCAGUGGGGAAUAUUGCACAAUGGGCGAAAGCCUGAUGCAGCGACGCCGCGUGAGCGAAGAAGUAUUUCGGUAUGUAAAGCUCUAUCAGCAGGGAAGAUAAUGACGGUACCUGACUAAGAAGCACCGGCUAAAUACGUGCCAGCAGCCGCGGUAAUACGUAUGGUGCAAGCGUUAUCCGGAUUUACUGGGUGUAAAGGGAGCGCAGGCGGUGCGGCAAGUCUGAUGUGAAAGCC
rnacentral:rRNA from 1 species